rnacentral:snRNA from 1 species
GUGCUUGCUUUGGCAGCACAUAUACUAAAAUUGGAAUGAUACAGACAAAUUUAGCAUGGCCCCUGCACAAGGAUGACACACAAAUUUGUGAAGCAUUCCAUAUUUUU